GGGGAUUAGGCGGUGCUCAGCUUCUGUGGUCUCCCUUAGAAGUCACUUGAAUUUAUUUAAUUCCUCAUUAUUUAGCUCCUCCAAAUGCAAUAGCAGCCCAAAAUCGGUAAAGGAGGAAAAUAUUGGUGAAUCUACCAUCUUGUCCUUGGAUCAGGGUUCAGGCUCUUGGGUGUCAGUGGUGCAGGUCAAACUCCACCACCAAAAGCCAUGCAUCCUAGAGGGAACAGGAAAAUUUGAAAGGGCUCCACAGCCCAGGCUUCUUCCCCAUGAACAUCUCGGAAGGACUGUGAUGUCGGUACAUCAAGGACGCACGCGCCAGCCGCUCCUCCCUUUCUGGGUCCUGACAGCUGAGCCACAACAGCUGUGCAGACCAGCGGCUCCCCCGGACUCACUCCAC
rnacentral:lncRNA from 1 species